rnacentral:rRNA from 1 species
UACCAGCACCCCGAGUGGUCGGGACGAUUAUUGGGCCUAAAGCAUCCGUAGCCGGUACUGCAAGUCUUCCGUUAAAUCCACCUGCUCAACAGUUGGGCUGCGGAGGAUACUACAGCGCUAGGAGGCAGGAGAGGCAAGCGGUACUCAGUGGGUAGGGGUAAAAUCCGUUGAUCCAUUGAAGACCACCAGUGGCGAAGGCGGCUUGCCAGAAUGCGCUCGACGGUGAGGGAUGAAAGCUGGGGGAGCAAACCGG